rnacentral:pre_miRNA from 1 species
CUGUCUGUCUGUCUGUCUGUCUGUCUGUCUGUCUGUCUGUCUGUCUGUCUGUCCUCAUUGACAGCAGACAGACAGACAGACAGACAGACAGACAGACAGACAGACA